rnacentral:rRNA from 1 species
UAGGGAAUAUUAGAAAUGGACGCAAGUCUGCUCUAGCGACACCGCGUGUGCGAUGAAGGCCUUCGGGUUGUAAAGCACUUUUUGGAAGGAAUAGGAAGGAAGGUACUUCCAGAAUAAGUCUCGGCUAACUACGUGCCAGCAGCCGCGGUAACACGUAGGAGGCAAACGUUAUCCGGAUUUACUGGGCGUAAAGCGCGUGUAGGUGGUUCUGUAAGUAGGGCGUGAAAGCUCCCGGCUCAACUGGGAGAGGCCGUUCUAAACUACAGAACUAGAGGAUGGUAGAGGGAGGUGGAAUUCCAGGUGUAGCGGUGGAAUGCGCAGAUAUCUGGAGGAACACCAGUGGCGAAAGCGGCCUCCUGGACCAUUCCUGACACUCAGACGCGAAAGCUAGGGUAGCAAACG